rnacentral:rRNA from 1 species
UACGUAGGGGGCAAGCGUUAUCCGGAUUUACUGGGUGUAAAGGGAGCGUAGACGGUUUAGUAAGUCUGGAGUGAAAGGCGGGGGCCCAACCCCCGGACUGCUCUGGAAACUAUUAAACUUGAGUGCAGGAGAGGUAAGCGGAAUUCCUAGUGUAGCGGUGAAAUGCGUAGAUAUUAGGAGGAACACCAGUGGCGAAGGCGGCUUACUGGACUGUAACUGACGUUGAGGCUCGAAAGCGUGGGUAUCGA